rnacentral:rRNA from 1 species
GUCGAAACGGUAACUUUUGGUGCUUGCACCGAAAGACGAGUGGCGAACGGGUGCGUAACGCGUAUGCAAUCUACCUUUUACUAGGGUAUAGCCCAGAGAAAUUUGGAUUAAUCCCCUAUAACAUCAUUUAAUCGCAUGAUUUUAUGAUUAAAGCUUCGGCGGUAAAAGAUGAGCAUGCGUCCUAUUAGUUAGUAGGUGAGGUAACGGCUCACCUAGACUCCGAUAGGUAGGGGUCCUGAGAGGGAGAUCCCCCACACUGGUACUGAGACACGGACCAGACUCCUACGGGAGGCAGCAGUGAGGAAUAUUGGACAAUGGACGAAAGUCUGAUCCAGCUAUGCCGCGUGCAGGAUGACGGCCCUAUGGGUUGUAAACCGCUUUUAUACAGGAAGAAAAACUCCGACGUGUCGGAACUUGACGGUACUGUAAGAAUAAGGAUCGGCUAACUCCGUGCCAGCAGCCACGGUAAUACGGAGGAUCCAAGCGUUAUCCGGAAUCAUUGGGUUUAAAGGGUCCGUAGGCGGUUUUUUAAGUCAGAGGUGAAAUCCUGUAGCUCAACCGUAGAAUUGCCUUUGAUACUGAAAGACUUGAGUUAUUGUGAAGUGGUUAGAAUGUGUGGUGUAGCGGUGAAAUGCAUAGAUAUCACACAGAAUACCAAUUGCGAAGGCAGAUCACUAACAAUAUACUGACGCUCAGGGACGAAAGCGUGGGUAGCGAACAGGAUUAGAUACCCUGGUAGUCCACGCCGUANACGAUGGAUACUAGCUGUAUGUCUACCUCANGUAGAUGUGUGGCUAAGCGAAAGUGAUAAGUAUCCCACCUGGGGAGUACGAUCGCAAGAUUGAAACUCAAAGGAAUUGACGGGGGCCCGCACAAGCGGUGGAGCAUGUGGUUUAAUUCGAUGAUACGCGAGGAACCCUUACAGGGC